AUAAAGCCAAGCUCAGCUGGCUCUGAUGCAACGAACGAGGAAUAAGAAUGUAAUUUAUGCAAAGAAAAAAUAGAAAAUAACAUAUUUUGCUUAAAAUGUAAAAUCUGCAUACUAUGCUGUAUGUGUAAAGAAACAAUAAUAAAUUAAGCUGCUGAUAGUCAUGCACUCAUGCUUACUAUCCUGCUUAUAUCUGAAAUCAACAAUGGAAGUUUUUGUAAAUUUUUGUAAUGUUAGCUAUGCAUGCCUGCGUGCUAACAGCUUUCUGAAAAAUGCUGAUGAACCAAACCUUGUCAUUUUUUCAUUGCCCCGCUCCCCUGCAAUCCUGCUCCUUGGUCAUAAACUUCAACACGAACCUGCAAUACUUCAACGAGGGGAUAUUGCGAGAAGAUAUUUAUUUCAAGAUAUAUAAAAAUAUAUGUAAUUAUGUAAAAAUAUAGGGUAGCUCGUGUAGACCAGUAUAUAGGCCUGAAAUUAUCAGCAUAGUCUUGCACUGUGCAGAUAUUGAAGGUUAUAUUAAGGCCUGCUCGACUCUACUACUAUACAGUAUGAUAUGAACUUCUGUCGAAUAAACAACUAAACAACUUAGAUUGAAAAAGGUUCGUCGGUGCCACUGCCAAGCAAAGUAACAUGUAUGAUACCCAACUGCCAAGCCAACCAAGAAUAGGAGAGUCUGCGUUUACAAUGCCAGCAGAUCAAAAAAGAAAAAAAGUUUGGACGAAGGCUCUUUAAUUGGAUCAUAGGAAUUCCUUAAGCAGAAAGAUCCCGAUUUUGUAAAAACUACAGUUUUGUAAAAAUUAAAUUGUUAAAUAAAUAUUAUGACGUUA